rnacentral:lncRNA from 1 species
CUGAAACUCCUUGAUCACACACAGAAACGCAGGGCACAACUUCCUUUUUCCAUCCGCUCAAGCUCUUAAUUCUCCUCUGCCAAUGACGCAUCUCAACUGCAACAGAAGACUCACACCCCCAAGCUCUUGGACGCACCUUGCAAGAACUCAUGUGCACACCUUGACGAAGGCUCGCAACUUCGCCAUCACUACCUUGCACCCUCCACCGAUGAUCUUGAUGAACUACUCGGUGUCAACUCAACACCUCCAUAAUCA